UACGAAGGGGGCUAGCGUUGCUCGGAAUCACUGGGCGUAAAGCGCACGUAGGCGGACUCUUAAGUCGGUGGUGAAAUCCUGGAGCUCAACUCCAGAACUGCCUUCGAUACUGGGAGUCUCGAGUUCGGGAGAGGUGAGUGGAACUGCGAGUGUAGAGGUGAAAUGCGUAGAUAUCGGAAGGAACACCAGUGGCGAAAGCGGCUUCCUGGUCCAGCACCGACGUUCAGGCACGAAAGCGUGGGGAGCAAACAGG
rnacentral:rRNA from 1 species